rnacentral:rRNA from 1 species
UACGUAGGGUGCAAGCGUUAAUCGGAAUUACUGGGCGUAAAGCGUGCGCAGGCGGUUGUGCAAGACAGAUGUGAAAUCCCCGGGCUCAACCUGGGAAUUGCAUUUGUGACUGCACGGCUAGAGUGUGUCAGAGGGGGGGUAGAAUUCCACGUGUGAGCAGUGAAAUGCGUAGAGAUGUGGAGGAAUACCGAUGGCGAAGGCAGCCCCCUGGGAUAACACUGACGCUCAUGCACGAAAGCGUGGGGAGCAAACAGG